GUUGGCAUCGUUACCCUUCAAGCCCAGCCCUAUGCGCUGACCACCGAACUGCCGGGCCGCACCACGGCCUAUCGCAGCGCUGAAGUGCGUCCGCAGGUAAAUGGCAUCAUCCAGAAGCGGUUGUUCGAAGAAGGCAGCGAGGUCAAGGCCGGCCAGCAGCUGUACCAGAUUG
rnacentral:ncRNA from 1 species